rnacentral:rRNA from 1 species
GAUGAACGCUGGCGGCGUGCCUAAUACAUGCAAGUCGAGCGAACAGACGAGGAGCUUGCUCCUCUGACGUUAGCGGCGGACGUGUGAGUAACACGUGGAUAACCUACCUAUAAGACUGGGAUAACUUCGGGAAACCGGAGCUAAUACCGGAUAAUAUAUUGAACCGCAUGGUUCAAUAGUGAAAGAUGGUUUUGAUGUCACUUAUAGAUGGAUCCGCGCCGCAUUAGCUAGUUGGUAAGGUAACGGCUUACCAAGGCGACGAUGCGUAGCCGACCUGAGAGGGUGAUCGACCACACUGGAACUGAGACACGGUCCAGACUCCUACGGGAGGCAGCAGUAGGGAAUCUUCCGCAAUGGGCGAAAGCCUGACGGAGCAACGCCGCGUGAGUGAUGAAGGUCUUCGGAUCGUAAAACUCUGUUAUUAGGGAAGAACAAAUGUGUAAGUAACUAUGCACGUCUUGACGGUACCUAAUCAGAAAGCCACGGCUAACUACGUG